ensembl:ncRNA T01B10.8 ncRNA
GGGGCAGUGAAAGACGACGAAGAAAAUGCUUCCGCGUUUAGUUUUGAAACACGACGUGGUGCUGGCCGACGGCCGCUGGUCGGAAUAGGAUAGAUUGUGCUCCAAAGAGCUCUCCGGAGCGAGCCGAGAAGAGCAAAGCUCGGG